rnacentral:rRNA from 1 species
UACGUAGGGGGCUAGCGUUGUCCGGAAUCAUUGGGCGUAAAGAGCGUGUAGGCGGCCCGGUAAGUCCGCUGUGAAAGUCGGGGGCUCAACCCUCGGAUGCCGGUGGAGUACUGUCGGGCUCGAGUACGGAAGAGGCGAGUGGAAUCCUGGUGUAGCGGUGAAAUGCGCAGAUAUCAGGAGGAACACCAAUGGCGAAGGCAG